rnacentral:tRNA from 1 species
CGGGCGGUAGCGCAGUCUGGUAGCGCACAGCAAUGGGGUUGCUGGGGUCGGAGGUUCAAAUCCUCUCCGCCCGACCA